UCAGAACGAACGCUGGCGGCAGGCUUAACACAUGCAAGUCGAGGGGUAACAGAGGUAGCUUGCUACUUGCUGACGACCGGCGCACGGGUGCGUAACGCGUAUACAAUCUACCUUAUACUGGGGAAUAGCCUUUGGAAACGAAGAUUAAUGCCCCAUAGUAUUAUUGAAUGGCAUCGUUUAAUAAUUAAAACUCCGGUGGUAUAAGAUGAGUAUGCGUUCUAUUAGUUAGUUGGUAAGGUAACGGCUUACCAAGACAUCGAUAGAUAGGGGUCCUGAGAGGGAGAUCCCCCACACUGGUACUGAGACACGGACCAGACUCCUACGGGAGGCAGCAG
rnacentral:rRNA from 1 species